UACGGGCGGCUGCAGCUAGGAAUCUUGGGAAUGGGCGAAAGCCUGACCCAGCAACGCCGCGUGGGCGAUGAAGGCCUUCGGGUUGUAAAGCCCUUUUGCAGGGGAAGAUGAUGACGGUACCCUGCGAAUAAGCCACGGCUAACUACGUGCCAGCAGCCGCGGUAAUACGUAGGUGGCAAGCGUUGUCCGGAUUUACUGGGCGUAAAGGGCGUGCAGGCGGUCUGUUAAGUCUAGGGUGAAAGCUCCCGGCUCAACUGGGAGAGGUCCUUGGAUACUGGCGGACUUGAGGGAUGCAGAGGAAAGUGGAAUUCCCGGUGUAGUGGUGAUAUGCGUAGAUAUCGGGAGGAACACCAGUGGCGAAGGCGGCUUUCUGGGCAUUACCUGACGCUGAGACGCGAAAGCGUGGGGAGCGAACCGGAUUAGAUACCCCGGUAGUCAUCUUCUAGA
rnacentral:rRNA from 1 species